UUAAGACAAUUAUCUGCAUCGUAACUUCCAAUCGAUAGAAUGUUUGUUUUAGAUAUUUACAUACAGGUAUACGUUUCACGAAUAUUACACUUGAGAUAAUAUUAUGAACAGUAUUUUUACUAGUUGCAAAUUACAAGUUACUAGUGCUAGCAAUUUUUUUACACGAAAGUAAGAAGGUUAGAAAUAAAACACGAGGACAAAUUAAAAGGCAUCAAUCUGGAGGGCAAAGCACUGCAGGAGAUUAACAGUUGCUUCUCAAGGAUCGGGAAAUAUAAGGGGAACAAGAGGGAAGAAGCUAACCCUUCGAUCAAAACUACCAACCGCAUAUCCGAUUCCCUUCGUUCGGAAUUUCCGAAGGGAAUCUUCCCCAGAGGGUGAACAGAGUCGUCUAAAAAAUUCGCGGACCCCACAUUUUCAGCGGAUUGAUCAAUUAACGAUAAUUACACUGGCCUAAGUUUGCUGAGGAACGUCCAUCUCUGUUCGUGGCAGUGGCAACUUGGAAUUGAUCUUGCGGUCGAUGAUUUUUUAAUUUUGUUACCUUACGUUUUACCUUCAUUCUGAAUUGAGAAAAUGAGGAACGUUAAUUUAAAAAAGAAGAGGACAAAUUAACACCAUGGUUAUAAAUCAAAAUGAAGAUAAGUUCUGAAACAAAAUAAUAACGUACUGCAAAAUAAUCUCUUCAGUCAAUGAGAUUGAAAUUAGCUCAAUAAUAGGAGAACAAGAAAUAAUAUUAUAUUUAAAACUCUAAAUCUCGUUUUUAGUAUUCUCGUUAUUAUGAUUGUUCCGCAUUUUAUCGUGUCAGCGUAUGUUUUCUAUACUAAAUAUUCAAAUACUGAGUCACUAUAUCCACUGCUAUCAACACAAACAACGUAUCACCAUUGAAAAUAGCUAUACCACGUGCCCAUAAAUUGCAGCGAAAUAAAAAUCGCUCCAUUCGCUCGACCAUUACUUUUAUCUAGAAAUUUUCAGAUUUUUGCCGCGUGUCGUUUCGAUCGGGCCACUGAAAGCAGUCGACGGGUCACAUUAUCUGACCCGCGUCAAUUUUUCGGAAAAUCGGUCUCCUGCGGAAUAUUCCGACUGCGGGUCUAUUAUCAAAAUUGAUCGUCCCAUAGCAGGAUUGUCCAAUCGUACAAUACUAGUUCCUAUUGAAGCAUCUGGACCUCUAACAGAGGGUAAAACGAUUGGUAUCGAGUCGCAUUGUUCGAUAAUGGCGGCUUCCCAUAAGCUACGAGCAACUUGAGAUUAGAUUUCCUACAAAAUCGGCUGAUUUCUUAGGAUAAACCAAUUUUUUUCAAAUUUUAUGAAAGAUUCGUGUUUAAUUUUCGCUGUCCUACGUGUGUAUUUAAUGGCGCCAUUUUUGUUCUUCUUUCAUCUUUCUCAGCGAAUACAUUAAAUUCAUACGCUAUUCAUCGAACAGUGAGAUGCGAUAGACAGAAGCACGCGAUGAAAUGAAACUGAAAAAUUAUAACAAUUUCAUAUAAAAUAAAUAGCCGAUAAAGCAACAAGCGACUAUCUAAAAACAUAAUUUUCUACAUACGUACACAUUUCACUCUUACAGAAAUACGGACACUGUAUUCUAUAUAUCUAGUCGAAAGCAUACGUCCGAUGCUUAUGGAAAAUCCCACUUUUACAAAAGCUUGUAAAGUCGUGGCCUAUGAGCAGCUGUCUUCUCAUUGCAAAAUUGUCGAACGAAGAACGAGACUAGUAUUGGCUCUUGCCAAUAACCCUCGAGCGAAAUGAUACUGCUGAUCCAGCUAUGCUUCCGAAAACACUUGGCUUGGAUAUUAGUAUUGCUGGACCGCGGUUGAAAGGAGGAUAACCGGGUAUAAAGAGGAACACGAGGAUGGAAAAGUAAUGAGGCCGGUAAUAGGUCCUUCGCGCGACGAUAAUGCGCCUCGGUUUCUGUUACGACCGACCACUGAAUUGGAAGAAUCCUGCUUGACAUACUGCGAUAACCUGAUUCUGAUUCAAUCAGUGCGGAAUAUGGAGGAAGAUAAGAAGAAGAUUUUCUAGGAGAGUGGAGGAGAUUGUUGCAGCCAUUUUGUAGGUACUUGAGGUUGAUAAAUGUGUACGUGCGUCAACAGAAGUCAUUCAUCAAGGGGGAAACGACGCGUUUUACAAGAAAAAACUGGUAGAGUCUUUGCAGAUUAUUUAAAAGGAGUGGAAGACUCUUUGGACAACAUUUUCUCUCGUUUCCAGCAAUUAGCAGCCUUGACGCCAACUCAUUAGCGGUUUAUAAGGAAGUGAGCACAUAUAAAAGUUACUUACGCUUUACUUUGAGCCCCUCGUUUCACGAGGAAGAGCCAGCAACGUACAGUCGUACAAAGAAUUUAAGUGAAGCUAAUUUUCAGGAAAGCUGUUACGCUUCCGGCCUAUUUCAAGCCACAUUAUUAACUUAAGUACAGCACUGUUUUCUUCUGUGCAUUUUCCACGAGCAUCCCCCACGCUCUCCCCUUCCCUCUUUAUUAUUGUAUCUUACUGAACUACCUCCUUUCCUAUUUAACUUCGAUGGCUCUUCGAGUUUUCUUCAAUCUUAACUUCCACUCCUGGAUCACGUGCAUUCUAUAAUUUAAUGUUAAAGCUGGAAAUUUGUUAAUAAAGACAGAUCGAAAAUAAAUUUGGAAGUUGCCAAGUUUGAAAUUCGACACUGAUUACUUCGAUUAAGGCUUAGAAAGUAAAUCUUUCUUCCCAAGACGAAGACAAUCGAUAAGAUAAUCAAACUGUUGUCAAUGAACUCUACUUCGAACGUUUCAAAAUCGUGGAAAUAAUAAUUAACGGUUUAAAAUUCGACCAGGUCUCUGUGAUCAAUUAAUUAAACAGAAGUUUCAACGAGGCAAAUAUAAAAUUACCAAGCAAUAAAGUUCGGAGGCGUGGUCCGAAAGACGAACUUUUAAUCGCUUGGUCGGGAAAACUAUCUCGUGUUUCACGUUCAAAUUAGGCCACGUUAAAGGGGAGUCACAAUCUGGUGUCAGACAGGUGAAGCUGCCCCACGAAGACUGGUCGCUAAUUAUUUCCGAAUUAACGGCACAUUAGUCUUGUGUCCCCAUUACGACGUAGUUCGGACAGCAUCCUGAAGCUUGGAUUAACGUGAAUGCAGGAUUACCGGGGACAGAAAUUAAACCCGAUGUCGCUGUUAAAUAGUUUCCACUCAGCUACCAAGUGACGGAGUUUCCUUAAGAAGGAAGCAAAAGAAGUCUAAAAGAGAAGAAAAAAUAGAAGAAAGAAGAAUGUAACAAGAGGCGAGAGAGUUCUAUACAGAGAGAAGGCACGGAAUUAUAUUUUUGAUACGACGCAGAAGUUUCUCCCCGGGGACAGUAAGGAGAACGCAUUUAACGUUUACGUCGUCGAUAAGAAAAAUCUCGUCGGGAACUGGUCUCGCUGUUGUAGGAACCCUCUUGCCGGUACUUUCGAUGUCGAGGUGCUUCGUUAAUUCGCCUUCAAGCUUGGAAAUAAUUUCCAGGCGGAGAAUUUCAUCAGGACGAGGGUAAAGUAGCCCUUGUAACGUCUGCCAGCCAGCUUAACACUCGUUUAAGUGUGCACGUAUACGUACGGGACAGCGGUUUUAGUCGUCGCUGACGAAAUAUUACUUUCGUUAUUGUCUGUCUCAGAGCGGCAGCAACAACCGGUACGAAGGGUUCUUCUCCCCUGUGAACUGUUUUAAUUAAUCCACGUCGAAUUAACGGUUAAAGCAUCACGAACUCGACAGACCUGGACUACCGUUCUCCUAUCUCGUCGCGUAAUCCUCUUACUUUAUAGGAUUCGUUAUUGUACAUACCUCGUUGACUAUGAUGCUCGAAAACCUUUCGCCGUUUAUUUACGACCGAUUCCUCAAAUCCUCCCGCUACUGAUUUUUCAUUUUAUCGUACGAACGAUUGAAAUCGAUUCUAUAUUCGAUGCACAAGCAUAGGAUAUCCUAUGCAAUUGAAACGAGACGUAUCUUUAUAUUUGGUGUUUCCAUGAUGUAUAAAUCAAGAUAAAAAGGAAAUGUUAUACGAAAAAUAAAUAAAUAAGAAUUCACAUUCUACACAACAAUGAAUUCUU